GAUGAACGCUGGCGGCGUGCCUAAUACAUGCAAGUCGAGCGAACAGACGAGGAGCUUGCUCCUCUGACGUUAGCGGCGGACGGGUGAGUAACACGUGGAUAACCUACCUAUAAGACUGGGAUAACUUCGGGAAACCGGAGCUAAUACCGGAUAAUAUAUUGAACCGUAUGGUUCAAUAGUGAAAGACGGUUUUGCUGUCACUUAUAGAUGGAUCCGCGCCGCAUUAGCUAGUUGGUAAGGUAACGGCUUACCAAGGCGACGAUGCGUAGCCGACCUGAGAGGGUGAUCGGCCACACUGGAACUGAGACACGGUCCAGACUCCUACGGGAGGCAGCAGUAGGGAAUCUUCCGCAAUGGGCGAAAGCUUGACGGAGCAACGCCGCGUGAGUGAUGAAGGUCUUCGGAUCGUAAAACUCUGUUAUUAGGGAAGAACAAAUGUGUAAGUAACUAUGCACGUCUUGACGGUACCUAAUCAGAAAGCCACGGCUAACUACGUG
rnacentral:rRNA from 1 species